UGCAACGAAGCAGCCAUCGUGGCGGCCCGGCGGGACAAGAAGAAAGUCGACCUGAAGG
rnacentral:snRNA from 1 species